UCUGCACUCUCAAAACUUUGAGCCCAUACACAUGCCCCGUAUAGAGGAGUAUUGAGUGAACCCACACACAUGCCCUGUAUAGAGGAGUACUGAGUGAACUUUCUGCAACCUGGAUCAGACAGCUACACUGGCAACUUUUUUGGGCAAACUGUUGUCAGCAACAAUUGACUCAAUUUUUGUAUUGAAAUAUUUUCAGGUUGCUGUUAAAUGAGAAAAGAAGAUAGCAGCACCAUCUAGUGGGCGAUUUGAUUGUAAACGUCCAAUUAGCGCAUCGAACAAGAUCAUGUGACUGCAAAAAUAAAAAAAUGGCAGUUUACUUGGUUGGAUCUUCGCGAGCUAUGUGGACAGUUAAUACUGAAAACUGACUUGUUUUCAGGUUCUGGGACUGAUCCCCGGCAAGCACCGGCACAAAUUAAGCAUUGGAAAACCAGUUUUUAUAGGACCUAAGACAUGUGGAUUACAGAAGAAGAGACAAAUGGUCAAACAUUGUGGAGAACCCUGCUGCAGCAUAGACAACCUGCCAUCUGAUGCCUUUCUCUGCUCCUCCAGUGAUAACAUGUCAUCACUGGAGCACUCGUCCCAGCACCUCCCCUGUCACCUUCAGAAGACCAGAUACAAGAUAGGCCAAAAAAAAACAGGGGCAAGACAACCAGUCAAGCAGAACAAGCAAUGGAAAUGGCUUUAAAUUAUUUAAGCCAUCGAGAAAAACAUCACCAUCUAAAAUAUUUGGAAGAAUGUAUAAAUAGCUAACCCCCUAAAAAGGUUCCCAGUGUUAAAAGAAAAAUAAUUGAUCUUGUGUGGUAGAAGAAUUGUAGUAUUCACACAUACCAUUGAAAUAAAACUAAAAAAUAAUUAGAUCUUGUAACAUAAAUUACAACUGUCUUCAAACUG